CCUACGGGAGGCAGCAGUGAGGAAUAUUGGUCAAUGGCCGCAAGCCUGAACCAGCCAAGCAGCGUGAAGGACGAAUGUGCCAAGCGUUGUAAACUUCUUUUAUCAAGGAACAAAGUCAGGCUCGAGAGCCUGUUCGAAGGUACUUUAUGAAUAAGCAUCGGCUAACUCCGUGCCAGCAGCCGCGGUAAUACGGAGGAUGCGAGCGUUAUCCGGAUUUAUUGGGUUUAAAGGGUGCGUAGGCGGAUUGUUAAGUCAGCGGGAAAAGCUGGGGGUUAAACCCAGACGAGCCGUUGAAACUGGCAGUCUUGAGAUGUGGAGAGGUAGGCGGAAUGCGCAGUGUAGCGGUGAAAUGCUUAGAUAUUGCGAAGAACUCCGAUUGCGAAGGCAGCAUACUGGAGGCGAACUGACGCUGAGGCACGAAAGCGUGGGUAUCGAACAGGAUUAGAUACCCGAGUAGUC
rnacentral:rRNA from 1 species